rnacentral:rRNA from 1 species
GCUGCACAGGUGCUGCAUGGCUGUCGUCAGUUCGUGCCGUGAGGUGUUGGGUUAAGUCCCGCAACGAACGCAACCCUUGUGUCUAGUUGCCCCCGCAGGUGAUGAGCCUGCGAGCACUCUAGACAGACUGCCCGUGAUAAGCGGGAGGAAGGUGGGGAUGACGUCAAGUCAGUAUGGCCUUUAUGCCCUGGGCUGCACACGUGCUACAAUGGACGGUACAGAAGGAUGCAAGACCGCGAGGUGGAGCAAAUCCUGAAAACCGUCCCCAGUUCAGAUUGAAGGCUGAAACUCGCCUUCAUGAAGCCGGAUUCGCUAGUAAUGGCGCAUCAGCUACGGCGCCGUGAAUACGUUCCCGGGCCUU